rnacentral:lncRNA from 1 species
AUAAGUAACAGGCCUGACAAAGAAACUCGCAGCAGUACUACUAUACGCAUACAAACUGUGUUUUACAGUUCUAAAGAAAAUGGCUUGCAAGAACGCAUACAUAGGCUUUUUCCUUGCCGUUCUUUUCCUUUCUCUGGACACGAUUUCAUGUAAGCACUCCUUUUAUUUCCAUCUCUUUAUUACUAUGAUUACUGUAAAUUUCAUGUCAUUCGAAUAAGAUUUUCUUCGAUAUCGAUAUCGAUUUCGAUUUUUAAUUCCGCUCACCCCAGCAAUAUUCAGCAUGUAUGUAUGUCUUUAAUUGCGCAGGGGCUAGUCCAGUAUUGGUGGAUGUUGGACCAUGUAUCAGGUGCAGACCGAAUUGCCGUUGCUAUUGCAAGGGUGCAGGAUAUAUAGAUGGCAUUUGUAUGCCCACCAUUCCAGGAGAGCCUGAUCACUGCUAUUGCUUAAAGCCUGAUUCCCCUCGCACUCCUCAGCCGCUAGAUCCUGAAUGUCAGAAUGUUUAGAUAACAUGUAUAAAUUUUCUUCGUCCAACGAGCUUAAUAUAUGAUUGCUUUUUUA